rnacentral:lncRNA from 1 species
CCAAUUGGUCUAAAGUCGUAAUUCUGUGUCCAUAUUUUAAAAAUACUCUGGCUGGGCAUGGUGGCUCAUGCCUGUAAUCCCAGCACCUUGGGUGGCUGAGGUGGUAUGGAUCACCUGAAGUCAGGAGUUUGAGACUAGCCUGAUCAAAUGGUGAACCUCAUCUCUUACUAAAACUACAAAAUUAGCUGGGCAUGGUGGCAGGCGCCUCCUGUAAUCCCAGCACUUUGGGAGGCCGAGGCGGGUGGAUCACGAGGUCAGGAGAUCGAGACCAUCCUGGCGAACACAGUGAAACCCCGUCUCUACUAAGAAAUACAAAAAAAUAGCCGGGCGAGAUGGCGGGCGCCUGUAGUCCCAGCUACUCGGGAGGCUGAGGCCGGAGAAUGGCGUGAACCCGGGAGGCGGAGCUUGCAGUGAGCCGAGAUCGCGCCACUGCACUCCAGCCUGGGCGACAGAGCGAGACUCCGUCUCAAAAAAAAAAAAAAAAAAAAAAUUUUUAAAUAGCCAGGCAUGGCGGCAUGUGCCUGUAGCCCCAGCUACUUGGGAGACAAAGAAGGGAAGAUCACUUGAGCCAAGGAGGUCGAGGCUGCCGUGAGCUAUGAUCGCACCACUGCGUUCCAGCCUGGUUGCCAGAGCAAGACCCUGACUCAAAAAAAAAAAAAAAGUGGGGGCAGAAGACGGAGGAACAACUGCAGUCAGUUACCAGUGCUCUGCUUUUAUAUACGGCUUUGCCUCUAAGCACACCAGGCAAGCAACACCUCACAUUCUAAAGGACAUAUCCUGACUGCUGCCUUCAUUGCAAUAGGGGCAGCACCACAUCUGAGCACAACAGGCCCCCUUGCCCUUCCCAGGUUUCACUCCUUUCAUAGAGAAAUCAAGCCCAUGCUGUCACCGCCCACCAGUAUUUCCCAGACUUUCCAGAUUGUGAUGAAUUGCCUAAAGCAUUGACUUGAAACAAAGCAAACCAAAACCAGAUUCUCAGCACCUGCUCUCGGAUGGUCUGACGAAGCCCUGGAAUCACCCAGGGGAGUCUAAUGAUCAGAUGCAUUUGGGAAAUGCUGAGCUGCCUACAACGUCUGAAGUCCGGGUCUGAGUUUCUUCCCAUCCUUCCUCUUGCUUUUGCAUCCUGUUGCUUCUGCAAACAGGCAGGCUAGACUGUUUAGAGAGUCUCACCUGGCCUCCAGCAUAGUCUAGAGUCAGGCGCUGAUCUUGCAGAUGGAUGACUCACCACAUCAUCCCCACGAGGGGUCCGGCGUCUUCACGUGUCACCCAACCUUUAAGUUUUCUGGACAGGCUGGAGGAGGUCAUGGGUCCUAAAGAAGAGGUGACUGACGUGGACUUUG